GACGAACGCUGGCGGCGUGCUUAACACAUGCAAGUCGAACGGAAAGGCCCUGCUUUUGUGGGGUGCUCGAGUGGCGAACGGGUGAGUAACACGUGAGUAACCUGCCCUUGACUUUGGGAUAACUUCAGGAAACUGGGGCUAAUACCGGAUAGGAGCUCCUGCUGCAUGGUGGGGGUUGGAAAGUUUCGGCGGUUGGGGAUGGACUCGCGGCUUAUCAGCUUGUUGGUGGGGUAGUGGCUUACCAAGGCUUUGACGGGUAGCCGGCCUGAGAGGGUGACCGGCCACCUGGGGACUGCGAUACGGACCAGACGCCAACGGGAGGCAGCGGGGGCGAAUAUUGCCCAAUGGGCGGAAGCCUGAUGCAGCAACGCCGCGUGCGGGAUGACGGCCUGCGGGUUGUAAACCGCUUUCGCCUGUGACGAAGCGUGAGUGACGGUAAUGGGUAAAGAAGCACCGGCUAACUACGUG
rnacentral:rRNA from 1 species